CACAUCCUCCAUCUGGACACACCUUCCUCUCUCAGUAAGAGCACCAGUGCUCCACUCUGAGGGUUUCUGGCUAACCUCACUCCCCAGGCUCCUGAGUCCCUGUUUGCUCUAUUGGGCCAUAACUGCCCUCCAUGUGGAUGGGGAGGGAAAGAGGUCAGAGACCAAAGGCAGAAAGAGGCAGAAGCUAUAAGAUAAAAAGCUGCCCAGCAGUGGGCCAGGCUCCAGGCCAGGCUCCAGGCUGGUGCAUCAGGGCUCUGGCCCUGCUUCUCAGAGAAUCUCUUGGCUCUGCCUCCCUCUGAGUUGGCUUCAUCUUCAAAC
rnacentral:lncRNA from 10 species